AGAAGCGCAUACGGUGGAUGCCUUGGCAGUCAGAGGCGAUGAAAGACGUGGUAGCCUGCGAAAAGCUUUGGGGAGUCGGCAAACAGACUGUGAUCCAGAGAUCUCUGAAUGGGGGAACCCAGCCAGCACAAGCUGGUUAUCUUGCACUGAAUACAUAGGUGCAAGAGGCGAACCAGGGGAACUGAAACAUCUAAGUACCCUGAGGAAAAGAAAUCAACCGAGAUUCCCUUAGUAGUGGCGAGCGAACGGGGACCAGCCCUUAAGUUGGUUUGAGAUUAGUGGAACGCUCUGGAAAGUGCGGCCAUAGUGGGUGAUAGCCCCGUACACGAAAAUCUCUUAUCAAUGAAAUCGAGUAGGACGGAGCACGAGAAACUUUGUCUGAAUAUGGGGGGACCAUCCUCCAAGGCUAAAUACUACUGACUGACCGAUAGUGAACUAGUACCGUGAGGGAAAGGCGAAAAGAACCCCGGAGAGGGGAGUGAAAUAGAUCCUGAAACCGUAUGCGUACAAGCAGUGGGAGCCUACUUUGUUAGGUGACUGCGUACCUUUUGUAUAAUGGGUCAGCGACUUAUAUUCAGUGGCGAGCUUAACCGAAUAGGGGAGGCGUAGCGAAAGCGAGUCUUAAUAGGGCGUUUAGUCGCUGGGUAUAGACCCGAAACCGGGCGAUCUAUCCAUGGGCAGGUUGAAGGUUAGGUAACACUGACUGGAGGACCGAACCGACUACCGUUGAAAAGUUAGCGGAUGACCUGUGGAUCGGAGUGAAAGGCUAAUCAAGCUCGGAGAUAGCUGGUUCUCCUCGAAAGCUAUUUAGGUAGCGCCUCAUGUAUCACUGUAGGGGGUAGAGCACUGUUUCGGCUAGGGGGUCAUCCCGACUUACCAAACCGAUGCAAACUCCGAAUACCUACAAGUGCCGAGCAUGGGAGACACACGGCGGGUGCUAACGUCCGUCGUGAAAAGGGAAACAACCCAGACCGUCAGCUAAGGUCCCAAAGUCAUGGUUAAGUGGGAAACGAUGUGGGAAGGCUUAGACAGCUAGGAGGUUGGCUUAGAAGCAGCCAUCCUUUAAAGAAAGCGUAAUAGCUCACUAGUCGAGUCGGCCUGCGCGGAAGAUGUAACGGGGCUCAAACCAUGCACCGAAGCUACGGGUAUCACCUUUUGGUGAUGCGGUAGAGGAGCGUUCUGUAAGCCUGUGAAGGUGAGUUGAGAAGCUUGCUGGAGGUAUCAGAAGUGCGAAUGCUGACAUGAGUAACGACAAUGCGAGUGAAAAACUCGCACGCCGAAAGACCAAGGUUUCCUGCGCAACGUUAAUCGACGCAGGGUUAGUCGGUCCCUAAGGCGAGGCUGAAAAGCGUAGUCGAUGGAAAACAGGUUAAUAUUCCUGUACUUCCAGUUAUUGCGAUGGAGGGACGGAGAAGGUUAGGCCAGCCUGGCGUUGGUUGUCCAGGUUUAAGGUGGUAGGCUGGAAUCUUAGGCAAAUCCGGGAUUUCAAGGCCGAGAGCUGAUGACGAGUUGCCAUUAGGCGACGAAGUGGUUGAUACCAUGCUUCCAAGAAAAGCUCCUAAGCUUCAGAUAACUGGGAACCGUACCCCAAACCGACACAGGUGGUUAGGUAGAGAAUACCAAGGCGCUUGAGAGAACUCGGGUGAAGGAACUAGGCAAAAUGGCACCGUAACUUCGGGAGAAGGUGCGCCGGCGAGGGUCAAGGACUUGCUCCGUAAGCCCAUGCCGGUCGAAGAUACCAGGCCGCUGCGACUGUUUAUUAAAAACACAGCACUCUGCAAACACGAAAGUGGACGUAUAGGGUGUGACGCCUGCCCGGUGCCGGAAGGUUAAUUGAUGGGGUUAGCGCAAGCGAAGCUCUUGAUCGAAGCCCCGGUAAACGGCGGCCGUAACUAUAACGGUCCUAAGGUAGCGAAAUUCCUUGUCGGGUAAGUUCCGACCUGCACGAAUGGCGUAACGAUGGCGGCGCUGUCUCCACCCGAGACUCAGUGAAAUUGAAAUCGCUGUGAAGAUGCAGUGUAUCCGCGGCUAGACGGAAAGACCCCGUGAACCUUUACUAUAGCUUUGCACUGGACUUUGAAUUUGCUUGUGUAGGAUAGGUGGGAGGCUUUGAAGUGGGGACGCCAGUUCUCAUGGAGCCAUCCUUGAAAUACCACCCUGGCAACUUUGAGGCUCUAACUCAGGUCCGUUAUCCGGAUCGAGGACAGUGUAUGGUGGGUAGUUUGACUGGGGCGGUCUCCUCCCAAAGAGUAACGGAGGAGUACGAAGGUGCGCUCAGACCGGUCGGAAAUCGGUCGUAGAGUAUAAAGGCAAAAGCGCGCUUGACUGCGAGACACNNNNNNNNNNGACUUUGAAUUUGCUUGUGUAGGAUAGGUGGGAGGCUUUGAAGUGGGGACGCCAGUUCUCAUGGAGCCAUCCUUGAAAUACCACCCUGGCAACUUUGAGGUNNNNNNNNNNCGUUGAGCUAACCAAUACUAAUUGCCCGUGAGGCUUGACCAUAUAACACCCAAGCAAUUUGCUAGCGCAGAUUGCGGUGGUGAAGAUGACACGAACCGAAGNNNNNNNNNNCCUCUGGUGUUCCGGUUGUCACGCCAGUGGCAUUGCCGGGUAGCUAUGUUCGGAAGAGAUAACCGCUGAAAGCAUCUAAGCGGGAAACUUGCCUCAAGAUUNNNNNNNNNNUCUCCUCCCAAAGAGUAACGGAGGAGUACGAAGGUGCGCUCAGACCGGUCGGAAAUCGGUCGUAGAGUAUAAAGGCAAAAGCGCGCUUGACUGCGAGACAAACACGU
rnacentral:rRNA from 1 species